rnacentral:misc_RNA from 1 species
GAUGAAGAACGUAGCGAAAUGCGAUAAGUAAUGUGAAUUGCAGAAUUCAGUGAAUCAUCGAAUCUUUGAACGCACAUUGCGCCCGCCAGUAUUCUGGCGGGCAUGCCUGUUCGAGCGUCAUUUCAACCAUCAAGCCCCAGGCUUGUGUUGGGGACCUGCGGCUGCCGCAGGCCCUGAAAACCAGUGGCGGGCUCGCUGUCACACCGGGCGUAGUAGAUUUUAUCUCGCUCAGGGCGUGCUGCGGGUUCCGGCCGUUAAAAAGCCUUUUUUACCCAAGGUUGACCUCGGAUCAGGUAGGAAGACCCGCUGAACUUAAGCAUAUCAAUAACGGAGG